CCAGUUGGAUGUGAAAACUCUGCUUCCAGGCCUGCUUGUCUUGGGGUCUCCAGUGGGUGCGGCCCACCAGUCUGUUGUCCAGCCGCAGCACAGCACUGACCUCCACUGUCACACACAAGCAGCCAUGUUUGGAAUAUACGAUGUAAGUACCUUUGGUGUUCAAAUUCAGGCAGGACGUUUGAUAUAGGCAAUUCUUUCAAUCCUCCAAGUUUUUGGUUUUAUCAAAGUUGUAUCAAAUGUUUGCUUCUGACUAUUAAACUUACUGGAUAGGUUGUCUGUGUUUAGACAAGGUGGUUGGUUGGUAGCGCUUUGGACAUUGUGAUCUGAUUGGCUAUUUACAGUCAAGGAUGCAUUGUUCACUUUGUCCAAGCCAGGUAGAGAUAUCAGUAAGUCCUCACAUCCAUUUAGCUUGAUCUCAAGUGUGCCUGUAUGUUAUAAUACCAAAAAACAUGAUUUAGUUCCAGAGAGAGAAACACCAAACCAAUGAAACCGUGUAUAGAAAUAUUUUUUAUUUAGAGCCGGGACACUGUAAAUACCUGUUAGACAAGCAGGCUUGAUGAAGGAUGUGGAGGAGGGGGUGGAGAGGAACGAGAGUAGGCGGUUCUGCUUUUGACCUUCAGAUGGAGAGGAUCCCGUGGAGAGCCCCUCUUUAAUAACAGGCUCCUGGAGAUGGUCCUGGGACAUCUCUUUCAGGCAUCUCUCCAAGGAGAAGCGCAGAAGGUCCAUCUUCUGAGAGGACUCCAGCACACGGGACUGAGCCUGGUGAUGGAAGGACAGUUUCAUGCAGGCACAAUAUAUUUUCUGGUUGGGGUUAGGGUUAGUAAGGUAUAAUUUGCAGAUGCACAAGAGUACAAACACGAUAUAUUCCAAUACUCUACUCCUAUUAUAAAUUCUCAAAACACACUUAGGGAUUAGGAUACAUCAUGAGGAAAUAUUUAGAGUAUGUAAAUGCUGAUGUUUUUCCUAUAUUGCAGACUGCUAAUGAGAUGUGGAAAUUGUCUUUCACCUCAGCCAGGGCCAGUUGGUCCUGUGAUGAAAGCCCUUCCAGCUGUUUCACAACAUCCCUGGCCAACGCCAACACAUCUGUCUCUCUCUGGACAUGGUUCUGUAACUCUGCCAGGCGAAUGUCCAGGGGACUGCCUGGCACUGGGGAGUGUCCUGCAGGAUCAUGGUUCAAUCAGAAAACCCGCCAGACUCCACACCAUCAUGUACAAGGGAGAUAAAAUAAUAUGUCCGAGUCAGCAGACAUGGUUGUGCACGUAGAUGCUUUCUCAAAUGGCUGGGAUAGAGGUCAGUUACAACCACGUUCAAUUUUCUAGAGUGCUUUUCAAUGUCAUAACAGCACAAGAGGAAAACAACACAAAGGCUGAUCGAUGCCCUAUGGUACAAUCAUAUUGUUCAUAUUGCAAGAAAAAAUCUGUUUGUUAUCAUGCAAACAUGAUCCCACUCCUCAACUGUACCAUAAAUCUCUGACCUCCAUGAUGGGAGCUGUCAUGGGUGCUGUGGCCAUCACCAACACCAGUCUGGGUGACUUUGAUAAUCUGCAUUCGAAUCAGCUCAAUCUUGGAGCGGCUGUCCUGCAGCAUCUGCUGAGCUGUGGACAGCAUCUCCUGAUCCUAGAUAGUGACACAUCACAGAGACAAAGAGCUCCACGUUAUCACUGAGGAGAGCUUCUCACGUUCCACCUCUCCACCUUCACUAUCCUUGAAACACAACAAGUCCUCUGCUGUUGUGGGCUUUCUGCAGGGGUGGCAGAGAUCCCCCUGUGC